rnacentral:rRNA from 1 species
CCUACGGGAGGCAGCAGUGGGGGAUAUUGCACAAUGGGGGAAACCCUGAUGCAGCGACGCCGCGUGAGUGAAGAAGUAUUUCGGUAUGUAAAGCUCUAUCAGCAGGGAAGAAAAAAGACGGUACCUGACUAAGAAGCCCCGGCUAACUACGUGCCAGCAGCCGCGGUAAUACGUAGGGGGCAAGCGUUAUCCGGAUUUACUGGGUGUAAAGGGAGCGUAGACGGCAAUACAAGUCGGAAGUGAAAUACCCGGGCUCAACCUGGGAACUGCUUUGGAAACUGUAUGGCUGGAGUGCUGGAGAGGUAAGCGGAAUUCCUAGUGUAGCGGUGAAAUGCGUAGAUAUUAGGAGGAACACCAGUGGCGAAGGCGGCAUACCGGCGGCGAUCUGACGCUGAGGCACGAAAGCGUGGGUAUCGAACAGGAUUAGAUACCCGGGUAGUC